UACGUAGGGUGCGAGCGUUGUCCGGAAUUAUUGGGCGUAAAGAGCUUGUAGGCGGUUUGUCGCGUCUGCUGUGAAAAUCCGGGGCUCAACCCCGGACUUGCAGUGGGUACGGGCAGACUAGAGUGUGGUAGGGGAGACUGGAAUUCCUGGUGUAGCGGUGAAAUGCGCAGAUAUCAGGAGGAACACCGGUGGCGAAGGCGGGUCUCUGGGCCUUACCUGACGCUGAGGAGCGAAAGCAUGGGUAGCCAACAGGAUUAGAUACCCCUGUAGUCCCU
rnacentral:rRNA from 1 species